AUAACUUUCGUUUUGAAAAAAACCAAUAACACGACGAAAAAAAAUGGUUGAUUCAGUCGAAGAACACUUUGGCUUCGUCCGCCCGUUAUUUUUCGGCAUUAUCGUAUAUUCAUGAGGACUUUUGUGUCACGGGUUUUUUGAGAUCGCGCGCGGACAACUGGAAUUCCGAUCGAAUAAUAUUUUGCGCCGAGUCCGUUUGGCUCCCGCAGCACGGCACGAAAAUAUAUCGCGAUAGAAAAGUGAACAACAUUCACAUUAAUAAUCCAUGACCUCCCAGUGGGAGAACUAUCUGCGAGCGAGAUUUGGUCAAGCAUUUGGUAUGGCAGUUUUAUCAAGUUCUGCGAUAAGGACAAAUGUGUCCUUCGAGAAGGGUAGCGACCCUCUCGAUAACGGGGCUAAGAAAAUCACGCGUUCGAUGUAACCAAAAGCAUAUAUUUGUUGAUUAAGAUGCAAACUCGUGCUCAAAACUACGUUGGAGUUCGAGAAAACUCCAUUUUCUGGACUCACUCAAAUUGUUGGAUUGGUCGUCGUCGCUUUUAGCUUUCAUUUGUCUCUCCCAAAUUAUCUUGCGUUCCUGGAGGGCUCGACUCGGGAUCAAACCAGCUCUCAUGUUUCUGUCACCCUCUCGUCGCGCCUGCCACCUGCGGGGAUUUAAAUAAACGGUACAAUUAUUCGGGAGGAUACGCGUGUGCGGACAGUACUUGUGAAAGUGGAAAUUGGGCAAUGGGGCGUGCUCGUAAAGACCCGGAAACGUGUAUGGAAAGGAAGAACGAAAAUAACGAAUAAAACUGACUGGUUAAUGGAA